UACGUAGGUGGCAAGCGUUGUCCGGAUUUCCUGGGCGUAAAGAGCGCGCAGGCGGUCGUCCAAGUCGCGUGUGAAAGCCCCCGGCUCAACUGGGGAGGGUCACGCGAUACUGGUCGACUCGAAGGCAGGAGAGGGUAGUGGAAUUCCCGGUGUAGUGGUGAAAUGCGUAGAUAUCGGGAGGAACACCAGUGGCGAAGGCGACUACCUGGCCUGUUCUUGACGCUGAGGCGCGAAAGCUAGGGGAGCAAACGGG
rnacentral:rRNA from 1 species